rnacentral:rRNA from 1 species
AUUGAACGCUGGCGGCAUGCCUUACACAUGCAAGUCGAACGGUAACAGGUCUUUCGGGAUGCUGACGAGUGGCGAACGGGUGAGUAAUACAUCGGAACGUGCCUAGUAGUGGGGGAUAGCUACUCGAAAGAGUGGCUAAUACCGCAUGAGAUCUAUGGAUGAAAGCAGGGGACCUUUGGGCCUUGUGCUACUAGAGCGGCCGAUGGCAGAUUAGGUAGUUGGUGGGAUAAAAGCUUACCAAGCCUACGAUCUGUAGCUGGUCUGAGAGGACGAUCAGCCACACUGGGACUGAGACACGGCCCAGACUCCUACGGGAGGCAGCAGUGGGGAAUUUUGGACAAUGGGCGCAAGCCUGAUCCAGCAAUGCCGCGUGCAGGAUGAAGGCCUUCGGGUUGUAAACUGCUUUUGUACGGAACGAAAAGUCUUGGGUUAAUACCCUGGGAUCAUGACGGUACCGUAAGAAUAAGCACCGGCUAACUACGUG